rnacentral:rRNA from 1 species
AUUGAACGCUGGCGGCAGGCCUAACACAUGCAAGUCGAGCGGAUGAGGGAAGCUUGCUUCCCGAUUUAGCGGCGGACGGGUGAGUAAUGCCUAGGAAUCUGCCUAUUAGUGGGGGAUAACGUUCCGAAAGGAACGCUAACACCGCAUACGUCCUACGGGAGAAAGUGGGGGAUCUUCGGACCUCACGCUAAUAGAUGAGCCUAGGUCGGAUUAGCUAGUUGGUGGGGUAACGGCCCACCAAGGCGACGAUCCGUAGCUGGUCUGAGAGGAUGAUCAGCCACACUGGAACUGAGACACGGUCCAGACUCCUACGGGAGGCAGCAGUGGGGAAUAUUGGACAAUGGGCGAAAGCCUGAUCCAGCCAUGCCGCGUGUGUGAAGAAGGUCUUCGGAUUGUAAAGCACUUUAAGUUGGGAGGAAGGGUUGUAAGCUAAUAUCUUGCAGCUUUGACGUUACCAACAGAGUAAGCACCGGCUAACUCUGUGCCAGCCGCCGCAGUAAGAC